CUUUGUUUGAAAACAAGCACAGCGGGGAGCAGAGAACCCUGAAAAAGGCGAGUGUGUGUGAGCAUGUGUGCCUGAGUUUGUGGACAUGUGAGUGUGUGAACAUGCGACUGUAUGUGUGAAUGUGAGUGUGUGUGAAUACAUGUAUGACGGUGUGUGUGAAUGUGUCAGGAUGUAAACACACGUGCAUGUGACUAUGUGUUUGUGUGUGUGAUUUGCACGUGCGAUUGUAUGACUUGAGUGUGUGAGGUGUGCCUGAGUGUGUGCCUGGGUGCAUGCGGCUGAGCGGGUAUGACCAUGAGGUCUGCUGAGGGUCACUCAGGAGGAGGAAAUGAAGGACAGGAAGCCGGGAAGGAGAGGCUGGCAAAGACGUGCCUCUUCCCUCAGCUGGAAAUGCAGAUGAUGGUGGAGCAGGAGCAGCCAGGAACCAGGCUGCGCAGUGGUGAUGUCAUCCUCCAUUAAUCAGGAGGCAGAUGCUCCCGCCCUUGUGCUCCACCAUCUCCCAGGAAGAGGCAAAGCCAGGUUCCCUGAGCACCCUCCCGGCCCCAUCUACAGCAUGGGCACUUCCACAAGAGUGUGACCCUGUUCAGCGUAAGAUCUCUGUUUUGCCAGCUGCGGAAGUCCUGCACCACCACAUACGGCUGCCCAUUGCACUCCAUCAGAAGGGUUACACAAGGAUGGAGUUAAAAUUCUAAAUUAGAAUGAGAAUGGAAACUUGGAGUCAACAGAAGCCAUCUUUUCUCUGAAAGAAACCUUUAAUACAGAAACAAAGAGCCAUAAUAUCCAGGAGAACACAACCCAGAGGAUUUCAGGACUUCUUUAGUAGCCAAGCUCAAGAGAUGCCAGAGUCCAUGCUGCUUACAGUGAGUACUCUUUUAUGAAGGCUGAAGAACACAGCCUUGCUAGUUCCUGUCCCCUGUCCUGCUGCAGACACGCGGUGGCCUGGAACCCCUCGUGAUUACUGAAGGAAGCUCCCCGUGAUUAAUCUGGACAUAACACUGUCUAGACGAACCAAAGCAGACACCUUAUCUGAGAGCCACCACCCUGUGACCAUGGCAUGAGCUCACUGUCCCCUUCUGUCUUAGGCUCUCUCUCACUUAAAUCACUCAUCAAAAAGUUGAUUUAAACUAACAUUAAAUAAGACACAAUUUCAUUAAUUUUUUUCUUACCAAAUAUGCCCUUGUGGUAUAUACUCCUGAUAUUAGUUACAGAGACCUCAGGUUUGUGCUUUUCCAUAUAAAGAAGGUACAUAUUCUAUGUAUAAACUGUGUAGAAACACAUGUUCGAGCAGUUACAUUAGAAAACUGAAUUGUGAUUUGACCAUUGUAUCUCCCAAAGCUGAAUAAAGCAACUCUCUGUGACAUCACAGAGACAAAACGUUUUCAGCUUGACAGGUUAAUUUAGGCAACAUUUUGUGUUCUGCUUUAUUAGAUAACCAGCAUAACUCAAAACAACUGAUAUUGAAUUUUUGCCAAGAUAUAAUGUUGAUAUAAGCCUGUUGGUAUUUUGGAUCCGUUUUCUCUAACAAAACACAAAAAAUUUCAACAAAUAUAUAAAAUCAAAAUUUAUUUUGUUUAUGUAUUAGAAAUGGGGUGCUGAAAAACUGGGAAAGAAUGUCUCACCUAAAUAAAAAGAUUCUUCCAACAUGAAAAAAGCUAAAAUAUAAGGUUGUUUUCAAUAGUGCCUUCUCCCUCUAAUCACAAAACUUUAAUGGGUAGAGAGCUGCUUCUCUUGUAGGGAGGGGAAAAAAUCAUAUAUUCUUUACAGCAUUCAAAUGUGAAAGAAGAUACUGGAGACAGGUCAUA